rnacentral:rRNA from 1 species
UACGGAGGAUGCGAGCGUUAUCCGGAUUUAUUGGGUUUAAAGGGUGCGCAGGCGGAGGUGCAAGUCAGCGGUCAAAUUGCGGGGCUCAACCCCGUACUGCCGUUGAAACUGCAUCCCUUGAGUGCGCGAGAAGUAUGCGGAAUGCGUGGUGUAGCGGUGAAAUGCAUAGAUAUCUGGAGGAACACCGGUGGCGAAGGCGGCCUGCUGGACGGCGACUGACGUUGAGGCUCGAAGGCGUGGGGAGCAAACAGG